UUUUACUUUCUUUUCUGUGUAUACACGAACACUAACACUAACAACUCGACAACAAAUAAAAAUCCGAUUUUCACAAACGAUCCCACGACAUAUUUAUUAUUAAAUAUUGUUCGUUUUGCAUUCAAUUGAUUCUCACUACAACAAUGGUUCAUCAUUAUUAUCAAUUUGUAGAAACCAUAAAGGUGAUAGUCCAAUUGUAUCAGUAAAAAAGAUGAAUAGCUGUUCGCUAUUUUUAGGCAUUGGUAAUCUUUUGGUUUGGUUUCCAUUAUUACGUUAUUU